AAAAAGAAUGAAACAGUGUCAUUUGCAGCAACAUGGAUGGAUCCAGAGGGUAUUAUGCUAAGUGAAAUAAGUCAGAAAAAGACAGAUAUCUUAUUUUUUACUCAUGUGUAAUUUGAGAAACUUGAUAGAAAACCAUAGGGGAAGGAAAAAUAAG